UGUUGUUUACGAAGAAAAUGCAGCAGUGUUGGUUUUUAUUUCUGCAUCGCAUCGCGACUAUUAACUACAAGCACAGCAUCAUCAACGGUGAAUCUUGGUAAAUACGUUUUGGUCGUGACCAAGGGUGGUUGUUGUUGUUGUAGCAGCAUACAAAUUCCCCAAAGACUUUUUGGGGAGUGUUGCUGGAGUGACAGUCCUUGGCCAGAUAUAAAUCUGGGUCGUUCCGGUUACGUAGACCCGACUGUCGUGGGAACGUGACCAAGGGUGGUCUCCCAAAUCGGCUGGGAAUAAGGCUAUUGUUACAGAACAAAACGCCGCAACCACUGCUGUGGUAAAUAUGUUCCAGCAGAACUGCCCACCGCCGUCAGUGUAAUGAUUUCGAUAGCUGAACAAACGCCAUCUCCUGGGCAUUCCCACAGCUUGCCGACACUAGCUAUUAUAUCACGUGUGAAUGCAACUGCGGCAAAAUUUGGUUAUUAACAGUGCAAUAGUACCAUGUCAUUGGCAAAAACACUAAGGGCUGCUGGCACAUAGAGGUUGUAAAGUUUUUGGUAUCGAUGAACUUACUCGUAGAAGACGAUGGCCGAAAACAUAUGAUGAAACAUCUUCUGGCAUGCCUUUGAGAAUCGUCAAGUCAGACGGAGGCUUCACAUACGAUAUUUCACACAUGGCUGGAAUUCGUUAGCGGGCAGAGCACACAUUUACAAAAUAUUUAUCGUUCUGCAGAACGUGCAUGCAUAUUCGAUUCCGAUUUUAUGGGUUGAUUACGGAGGACAACCGUACUUCAGUUGGUUGCCCAGUGGCUGAAAUGGUAUUCCCGAUGGCAACUAGCAACUGAAAGCUAACCACUAAGUUGCUAUAUUGGCAACUGCAUUCUUGUGGCUGCCGGGAAAUUUUGAUUGAGAUACUUUAUUUCUUUUUUCAACUUUUUUUUUUAAAUUGUACCAACUUGAACUUUAUGAAACUUAAUUAUUGCUAUUCAUAAUAAAAAAAACAUUUUCAUUUCAGUGGCGCUGUCCAUCGGCAACCCAACUGAGGUACCGUUCCCAUCCAUAAUCGAUCUAUAAGUCAUAAUAGUACGAAGGCUAUCAUAGAAGCCAUCGUAGUCCGAUUUUUCGUGAAAUCUACGAAAAUGCUAUUAAGUUCGAGUAGCUACGAACGCAGCGCUUGCUUUGAAUACAUACGUUCAUAGCAGUUCAGAUUCAGUGAUCGCUUUUUCGAAGAUCUUAAGAAAAAUCGGACUACGAUGGAUUCCGCCACCAAUAUGUUUUCUCCUUUGACAAGAUGUUGGAGAAUGGCGGCAGCACAGCCGUAUACCUACUCUAUGCUCUUACGCGCAUAUGCUAAAUUUCUCGCACCUAGCUAAACUGCUUGACAAAGGCAGAAGGCAUAUCUUCAACAUUAUAACUUAAAGUAAAAAAGUUUAAGGCAUGCAAUAAAAGAAUACAACAGAACCAAAAAAUGUUCUCAAAAAUA